rnacentral:rRNA from 1 species
AAGACCUUGCGCUUUUGGAGCGGCCGAUGCCUGAUUAGCUAGUUGGUGGGGUAAUGGCCUACCAAAGCUUCGAUCAGUAGCUGGUCUGAGAGGACGGCCAGCCACACUGGGACUGAGACACGGCCCAGACUCCUACGGGAGGCAGCAGUGGGGAAUUUUGGACAAUGGGCGCAAGCCUGAUCCAGCCAUGCCGCGUGAGUGAAGAAGGCCUUCGGGUUGUAAAGCUCUUUCAGCCGGGAAGAAAAGGUUGCGACUAAUAAUCGCAAUCCAUGACGGUACCGAAAGAAGAAGCACCGGCUAACUACGUGCCAGCAGCCGCGGUAAUACGUAGGGUGCGAGCGUUAAUCGGAAUUACUGGGCGUAAAGGGUGCGCAGGCGGUUUUGUAAGUCAGAUGUGAAAUCCCCGGGCUUAACCUGGGAACU